rnacentral:misc_RNA from 1 species
GAUGAAGAACGCAGCGAAAUGCGAUAAGUAAUGUGAAUUGCAGAAUUCAGUGAAUCAUCGAAUCUUUGAACGCACAUUGCGCCCACCAGUAUUCUGGCGGGCAUGCCUGUUCGAGCGUCAUUUCAACCAUCAAGCCCCAGGCUUGUGUUGGGGACCUGCGGCUGCCGCAGGCCCUGAAAACCAGUGGCGGGCUCGCUGUCACACCGGGCGUAGUAGAUUUUAUCUCGCUCAGGGCGUGCUGCGGGUUCCGGCCGUUAAAAAGCCUUUUUUACCCAAGGUUGACCUCGGAUCAGGUAGGAAGACCCGCUGAACUUAAGCAUAUCAAUAAGCGGAGG